AAAUAGCCUUUAUUUAUUUGAUAAUUUAUGCAAAUAAAUAUAUAUUUUUUAGAAAUGAAAUAUAUUUCUUUUGUAGAAAGGAUACUCUUGACACAUGUCUAUUUUUACUCCAGAUGUCAAUUACCUAAUGUCAGGUGGUAGAUUUGUGUAUUUUUUUUUUCUGGAAUGCAUACACAUAGUCUUCAAUUUAAUUUUUUGGUAUCAAAGAGAAGCUCAUAUUUAGCUCGAUCUCUCUCUAUCUCUUUCCCUUUCUUCUCUUCCCCCCUUUAUGCGCCACAGGUCCCUAUGGUUUUGCUUCAUCUGGUUUGGUCUUCAAGGUGAUAUUGGAAGCAGAAGUGUUGUUGAUGCAUUUUUCUUGGAAAAAGCUCUAACAGAAGCCUUAAAAGAGAGCAUUGAAUAAACUGUUGGGAGGUUUUGAGUACAGUUGGACGACAACAAUCUGAGCAACAAAAGCAAAUACAGGAGUUCCAGAUGCAGAAUAGAUGAUGAAUUUAUUGAUUCAUCAGCCUGACUUAUGGCAACUGUGUUUGGGGAAAUUACUGAAUCAUUGCUCUCAUGCAAUGCUACAACAUUAAUGAAUGCUAAAAUUAAGGCAAGUAACAACAUUUCUAAUGAAUAUUUUGAACUCGAUGACAACAAAGAGAUAAUAACAGCUUACAUCAAGGCAGUAAAAUAAGAUUCAAGUGAAGAAUGGAAAUUUAACAUCACUUCAUUCCUUAAUACAACUUCAAUCUCAAAUGAAGAAUCAAUCUCCAAUACUUUAAGUUCCCAUCCGAAUCCAACAAAAACCUACUGCUGAUGAUCAAAAGAAGAAACAUAAAGCUACUUAUGAAGAUUUUGAUGGAGAUGAAGAGAACCACAAGGCUUCUAAUGAAGAUCAGAUACAUUAGAAAGGUUGCAACCAACUCUUCUUAUAAAUAGCCUUACUCUUUCAAAAGUUUCAGGACUACUAAAGAUAGAAUAGAUAUGUAAAUAGGCCACCACUUUUGAAUUUACUAUCUUGCUGAAACACUUGUAAUUGGCUUCCACUUUUGAAAGUUCCAUCACUACUAAAUAGAAUAGAUAUAUAAAUAAAUAGGCCCCAAUUUCAGAACAUGUAAAUAACUUAUACUUUUGAAAGUUAUGUGAAAUUGUAUCACUACUAAAGUGUAGUAAGAAUGGAUAUGUAAGUAGGCCACAACUUUGGAACACUUGUAAAUAGGCAUACUUUUCAAGGUUACAUCACUACUAAAGAUGGAACAAGUAUGUAAAUAAGCCACAACUUUGAAAACUACUGUCGUGCUGGAAUAUAAAUUU